CCCUCCGCCAUGUCAGGACACAGCAAGAUGCCAUCUGUGAACCAGGAAGUGGGCUUCCACCAGACACCAAAUCUGCCAGUGCCUUAACCUUGGACUUCCCAGCCCCCAAACUGUUUGCUGUGAAGGAUUCUUCUCCCUAAGGACUGUGGCCUGAGUUGUCGGUUAUCCCGCCCAGAACACACAGGAUGUGGAAGAUGCCUUCCCGGGAGGAAGAACCGGGAGCAGAGGCUUGGGUAAGAUUCCCCAGCAGAAGAUUCUUUAUGCCAGGACGGCAGCUGUGGAAGCCAUAAUAACCACAAGAAAUGCUAUAAUCGAGAGGAAGAAAACGGGUCUGCCAUGUAUGCCCGACAAGACCACUUAACCUUAGACUCUGCCAAAGGAGGACGCCGCUCGCCCUUGUUCCCAGAGGAGUGAACUGCUACAAUCGCCACUAUGGAGGCGUCCUGAAGUUUGCAGUGUGCGACUUGAUGAAAGUAUAUUUUGGAAGAUUAUUC
rnacentral:lncRNA from 1 species